AAGAGCUCCUUUCUAUGGUUUGUUCUAGACUUUCCUUUUGGCUGAUUGUGAUAUACUCUUUGAAACAAUGGUUCUAAGUAACGCAGUCAGGUGAAUCGACUGGUCCUUUUCAUGCUCAGUGACAUCUAUAUGAAGGUUUACUAAAUUUUGAGAAACACUUGUCAGGACACAAGACUGAAAGAAAGAUG